rnacentral:rRNA from 1 species
UACGUAGGGUGCGAGCGUUAAUCGGAAUUACUGGGCGUAAAGCGUGCGCAGGCGGUUUGCCAAGACAGAUGUGAAAGCCCCGGGCUCAACCUGGGAAUGGCAUUUGUGACUGGCAGGCUAGAGUGUGUCAGAAGGGGGUAGAAUUCCACGUGUAGCAGUGAAAUGCGUAGAGAUGUGGAGGAAUACCGAUGGCGAAGGCAGCCCCCUGGGAUAACACUGACGCUCAUGCACGAAAGCGUGGGGAGCAAACAGG